UACGAAGGGUGCAAGCGUUACUCGGAAUUACUGGGCGUAAAGCGUGCGUAGGUGGUUCGUUAAGUCUGAUGUGAAAGCCCCGGGCUCAACCUGGGAACUGCAUUGGAUACUGGCGAUCUGGAGUGCGGUAGAGGGGUGCGGAAUUCCCGGUGUAGCGGUGAAAUGCGCAGAUAUCAGGAGGAACACCGGUGGCGAAGGCGGGUCUCUGGGCGAGUACUGACGCUGAGGAGCGAAAGCUGGGG
rnacentral:rRNA from 1 species